AUUGAACGCUGGCGGCAGGCCUAACACAUGCAAGUCGAGCGGGGUUUUCGGACCUAGCGGCGGACGGGUGAGUAAUGCGUAGGAAGCUGCCCGAUAGAGGGGGAUACCAGUAGGAAACGACUGUUAAUACCGCAUAAUGUCUACGGACCAAAGUGUGGGACCUUCGGGCCACAUGCUAUCGGAUGCGCCUACGUGGGAUU
rnacentral:rRNA from 1 species